GAGCUCUCGCUCCCCACCGCGGGGUCUCGACGUGAGCCUCGGAGCAUUCAAAGGAAAGGUUUGCUCGGCGGAUAGCUCGCGCUUUUCACCCAUACCAACGCGGAGCACGACCAAAGGAAGUCACCUCAGCGCCACGGUUUCGGGUUUGUCUCCAGCUACUGACUUCGCAGCAUACUACGCACAGAAGUUUAUACUACAACUGUACCGCUCCCUUUAUGGUAAACCCGAACCAUCACUUUCUGAAGCUAUUUCCCGCCACUUCGUCCAAUCCCUCUUUUGGUCCUGGUAUUUCAUCGCAGCACGCACGACUCUGAAAGACCGCCGCCGCCCUUAUUACUCUGGUUCGACCAAUCGCUCUACUGACUGGACCUGGUACCAAUACUUGCGGUGGAGGUUGUCUCUGAUUUAAAUGGAAAAGGUUCACAAGAUUAUCCAGAACUUCCAGGAGUGCAUUUGUAAAAUGAAUUAAUAAAGUUUUUUUUU